rnacentral:rRNA from 1 species
UACGAAGUGGGCUAGCGUUGCUCGGAAUCACUGGGCGUAAAGGGUGCGUAGGCGGGGCUUUAAGUCAGGGGUGAAAUCCUGGAGCUCAACUCCAGAACUGCCUUUGAUACUGAGGAUCUUGAGUUCGGGAGAGGUGAGUGGAACUGCGAGUGUAGAGGUGAAAUUCGUAGAUAUUCGCAAGAACACCAGUGGCGAAGGCGGCUCACUGGCCCGAUACUGACGCUGAGGCACGAAAGCGUGGGGAGCGUUCCGG